AUUGGUUUUAAAGGAUCCUUUGCAGAUGCAGGAUCUUCUGCUAAGACAUUUGCAGUUUUGUCCGGAGUGCACUGUUUGGUUGUCUGCAUGUUGAAGAGGCUGCGAGGAAAGGAUGAUGGUAUGGGAACUUGAAUGCAGAAAUAGUACUUUUACGUUAUUCGUUCAUUAUAUCGUGUUCACUAUUUCUUCCACUACAUUUUUUAAUGCUGGAGUAGCUGGAUGUUGCAUUGGUCUUGCUCUUAGUUUUCCAGGUGCACCCCAGGCUC